ACUCCUACGGGAGGCAGCAGUGGGGAAUAUUGCACAAUGGGGGAAAGCCCAUCGAUGCAGCCAUGCCCGCGUGUGUGAAGAAGGCCUUCGGGUUGUAAAGCACUUUCAGUAGGGAGGAAGGUAGUGUAGUUAACACCUGCAUUAUUUGACGUUACCUACAGAAGAAGCACCGGCUAACUUCGUGCCAGCAGCCGCGGUAAUACGAAGGGUGCAAGCGUUAAUCGGAAUUACUGGGCGUAAAGCGCGCGUAGGUGGCUUGAUAAGUUGGAUGUGAAAUCCCCGGG
rnacentral:rRNA from 1 species